UCGUUGCACUUUUGGAUAUUAAAUUUCAAUGGUAAAUUCAUGCAGCUUGUAUGAAUGACAUUUACAACUAAAUCGGUAUAACUAUGAUAUAUAAUUGAUGUAGUUUUAAAAGUAUACGCUGUAAUCAUUUAUGUUGUGUAAUAGCUGGACUGACUAUCGAAGGUAGGGUGCUUUUUUAAUUCAGUUAAUUGAUACAUUUGUAUAAGGAAUUUGGCGCAACUUCUUUAAUGUUCAUUCGGAUAUAAUACACGCUUUGGAAAUGCUUGUAGAAUAACUAUUUGAAUUGCCACAUUUUACGUUGGUUUUUUUUUUUGUGCUAUCAAAUUGAUCUCUUAGAACCAUUCCCUUUUUAAUAUAUGUUAAGAAUUGUGUAAUGUUCAUAUAUGAAGAUAAAGUAAAUAAACGCAUCACUGAUACCAACAUUGAAAUUUUGUAUUUUUGCCCAGUGGCGCGUUUUGUCAUCAAAGACUCUUCAAUGACCUUUUAUUUUCAAUUAAGAGGAACACCACAGUUCAACUUGCAAUUGAAGAAUCAUUCCCUAAUUUGGAAUCAACAGUAUUGAGCGAAAUAUAAGUGUUUGCUUAACGUCUAAUGACAAAUAUUUUAUGCAUAUUCAAAACAAAAACAAACUAGCAAAUAAAUGCAUGUGCAGCAAGGUGUAUCGACCUGUAUAAAUCUAAUAGUGUAGGACUUAAAGUGGAGAAAUACCGUAAUACCUAUUCCUUUUUCAUCUGAAAAGUUAGGGGAUUGUGCAAUGUUCAAUGUAUAUGGACAAAGUAUAUUGUUACUUUUCUAACUGUUUCCUAAUCCGGCCGAUUUUGUAAAAUUUCUCAAAAAUCUUUAUUUAUUUACCCUUUUUGGACGCACAAAUCAACGCUUUAAAAUGAGAUGUUGACAAAUAUAGUUUAAAUUACAUUGUCACAUGUCUUUUUUAACUUCAUGUUUUGUUAUCUUGAAACCUUGUUUACCAUCAAAUAUGCCCAAUACCGUUUAUGCCAUAAAUGUCUGGAUGAGGUAGACUUUAUUUGUCUUUUCAUGCAGCCAUUCGUUGAACAUUUACAUUUGAACAUGUUUUAAUGCUUUUUAUAAUGUCAUGCAAAGCUUAAAUAGGUUGAUGUGUUUCAGUCACUUGAUUAAACUGAUCCUCUGUUGUGUAUAUAACGCUUAAACGUUUAUCCUAUUUACAUGUAAAAUUCAAGCAGAAUAAAAAUGUUGUUCUUUGGCAUGCUGUUGGAGAUCGCAAAUGCAUGGUGUUAUACUUAAAAUGUAAACAGGAAAAUGAAACCACUAGGAUAUUGUUCAACUUGAUCAUUUCUUUCCAAAAAAUUCAACAGUUUAAGAACAACAAUUUCGAGCUGUUCCCUUAUGUAUAAUUUGUAUCAUUAUUAUUAUCAUUAUUUGGCAAGUUUAUCGUUAUACUUAUAUGAUUACUAUCAUCAUUAUUCUUAGUAUCCUCAUUCUGUAUCAUAUCGUUUCGAUUUCAAUUUUUCGAAUAUAUCUUUAUUUUCUCAAUGUCAUCCCAAUCGUGUCUAACCAAUUCUUAUUUACAAAUUUACUAAUGACAUCUUAAAGGGACACACUCUACGAGAUGUAUAAAAAUCUAAAGUACGAUUAUUUUUUUCAAUCAAUUAUGAAAGUAAAAUAGUGAAAUAAUAAUUCGCUUUUAGCAGCCAAAAUGGUUUAAUUUUGUCAAAUUAAGCUAAAUAAUAUUGAUAAUGAAUUAUUCACUUGCAAGUGAAUAAGUCGACCUCAUUAAAUCCGUAUUCAUGUGAACUUCAAUUUAACCCCUUUACUAGAGAUGGAUAACGCAUGCUUUGUACGUGUACUGUUUAUUUAAUGGAAAGGAAUGUCAACAUUGAAAGAGAAACAAAGGUAAAUCAUUUGAUGACUGUCAUGUAUUGGUCUUACGUUGUAUUGGUUUAUCAGAUGUAUCUGUAUGUUGUACUCUCUUAUGUGAAGUCAUUAAACAUAUCUACCAUGCUGAACUGAGUUAUAUGAUAAUGACUGAUUCGAUCCACUAAAAAUAUUUCUUAUACAUGUAAAAACAUUGAGAAACAUAUAUUUUUAAUCUAUAAAAUUAAAUUAAACAGACCUAAAAAAAAAUCCAACUGCACGUGUUGGCUUAAUGUAUUUAUAUCUAAUCAUUAGUAUAUUUAUGUUCACAUCGCUAAUAUGGUCAUCUGAGGUCAACUCGAUAUUUAAUUAGAGGAGUCUAGACUAAAAUAUACACGAAACGAAACUACAUAUUAUUGACCCUAUACUCUGUAAACUGUUUACUUCACACUUUUGAUAUUUGCAUAAAUGUUUUACAUUGUUAUAAACUAAAUACGAGAAUUUGAGUCGAAUCGAUGACCAUGAAUUUGACAGUUAGUGCCCCUUUAAGCUCUUUUAUCAUUAAAACUAAACAGAAAAAUAUGAAUUUGAUGAUUUUCCCAUUUUUUCCCUAUUCUUUAUGAUAUGUUACAUAAUUUUAAUCAAUACGAGUUUAAUACUACUGAAGAGGUUCAUAGGACAUAUGCCAUCUGAUUACAAUCUUAAAAAGGUCAUUCUAAAUUUAAAUACUGUGGAGUGUGUUUUUUAUGCCCACCUAUUCGAGGAUUAAUAUUGCUUUUAAGAUAAUGUCCUUAAAAUGUAUAGCACAAGUCUUUACAAUAUUUUUAAAUUUCAAUAAUUAAGCACAACGGAAGUUUUAAUUUGUUCUUUUCGAGAAACAAAUGAACAGCCUACGCAAAUAUAAUGUAAGGCAACCCAAUAGACAAUGUAUUAAUUUUGUCAAACGAGUAUGAAACUGCACAAGUUAAGGAAAUAAAUCGCUUGUCAUUUGCUGUUUCGCCAAUGCAAAUGUACUAAUAAGUCUUCUGUAUUCCAAACUAUAUGUUUUUCUGACAAAUGUUAAUAUAGAAAAGUGCUUUAAAUGCAACUAUUUGCGUACUUUUCUCCUGGCUUUGUAAAUGAUUCACGACAAAUAUCAAUAUUUCACUGUAGUGCCAAUUUUCUAAAUAUUUUCUAUUAUAUUUUCGUAUUCCAUUUCACUAAUAUUAUAUUUAUGCAAGUAAGUCUGAAUAAAAAUCAGGCAAGAUAAAGACGAGCUUUGAUGCGGUUAAUAGAGCAGAGGUAAGAUGGGCUAAGUAAAUAAAGAAGAUACGAUGAAAAAUGUGAAGAAAAAGACAAAAUAGAAGUAAUGGAAAACUAACGUAUAAUAUGUGAAUAUUGGACAAAUAUUAAGAAUUGCACAAAAUGGCAAAAGAUAACGGAUACAAGAAUUGAAGAUCCCAUACCCAUCAUUCAGACCCUCACAAAAGAUUUACAAACCUUAAUAUCGUAUAUAAUCUAUCGUGUUUGCAAAAAGUCACGCGUCAACCAAAAUGAUAUUUUUUUUACUUCUUUUUAAUCAUCAGCAGACGGAUGUAUUCAUUUUAUAUUCUUUAUUCCGUUUCGUUUUUUUACUAUAAUGAAAAGGUGUUGACCGAAGCACAUUUCAAAUAAAUAUGCUUUUCUACCUCAGGAAUAGAUUACCUUAGCUGGAUUUGGCAAAACUUUUAAGAUUUUUGGGCCUCAACGCUCUUCAAGAACGUACUUUAUUUGGCUUUUUGACUUUUUUUUUAUUCAAGCGUCACUGCUGAGUCUUUUGUCUGGCAUAAAUAUAAAACUUCAAUUCUGGUUUCUAUGAUGAGUUUAAUAUAAAAAUGCAUCUUAUAAAAACAAAGGUGAUCACAGGCAAAGCUUCUCAGAACCAAUACAUGUAUUUAAAAACUGUUCUGUAUGUGUCUUCGUCAAAUUCACUAUUAAGGGUAGUUUUCUUUCGGCUAUGUUUUAUUAUUUUUUUGUUUUCUUGAAUUUUUUAGCCGGUUGUGUUAUGUUGUUCAGUAUAUUGUUACUUACAGUUUUGGGAUACUGAACCAAUUUAUUCACACAAUCAAUCUGUUAUUUCUGUUUAGGUUACGCAUAUACACUUCAAUUUAAAGAAAGUAUAGACAACUGACAUUCAAGUGGUAGGUCAAUAAACAUACCAAGUCAUAAAUAUUAAAAUUAUCCGUUCUGUUGAAUUGGUUGAUACCGUUUGAUUAUAUAUUUGUUAUGGACUUUAAAUAUUUUGAUUUACCCUGGAGUUUCGUAUUUUUAUUUCAAUUCUUUUUUUUAUUCUGAUAAAAACUUUAAGAGACGCCCAAUUUUUAUUAUAACCAUAAUAACAUGUGUAUGCUAAAUAAGCAGGAAAAUGAGAUUAUGAAGUUAUUUUACCGAUGUUUAAAUAUAUCUUUCUAUGAACGAUGUCUGGAUAUCACAAGCUUUCCAUAAAAUGUUUACGUCAUAAUACACAAUUAUCUAAUGCCACAAUGUAAGAGUGAUUGUUGUAUGAGGUCAAUAGUCAAAAUGUCACAGAUCAUCGGGUAUACCAUUGCAUUAUUCCCAAUAACUAUAAGAUGUAUAUGUGGUAAAUGGAUCAGGAAGACUUUUAACAAACAAAAUCUGAAUGAAUACCAUGAUUCUAAGUAUACUUAAAGUCGAAUGUUUUGUCGUUGUGUCAUUGCAAUGAUGAGCACUUGUUGACAUGUAUACUACAACAUUUGUUUUUGACGCGUUAGGAAUGUCAAUGAUCGAUGCAAUUGUCAGAAUUGUAACCAAAUAUAGGUACAUUGAGAUUAAAUGUAACCUUCAGACAUAAUAAUACCAAUGUCUAGUACAAACCCAUAAGUCUUUUGAAAAAGAGAUGAAUCGCGUCUUAAAAACUCAAAAUCAUCUCUAAGUAUUCGUUUUUUUUUAAUACAAUUUAACGGAAACAAUCAAUCCAUAAUCUGCCUUCACCAUUUCGUUUCUCCAAAUACUUCAGUCUUAGAUGCAUGAUUUUGUUAUUAGUUGUUAAUAGCUUUGAACUAGCUGUUAGUAACUGUGAGUACUCUCAGAUCUGUGUCUUUUUGUUGUUUAGUUGUACCCGUCUACGUCCACUUGUAUUUGUAUUUCUAUAUAUCUGAUGAGUUAAGCCUUUUUAUCAACUGAUUUGUAAAGUUCGUUCUUAUGUUGUACUGUUACACCAUUGUUCCAGUUUAGGGAGAUGGUUGAACUCCCGCUAAUAUGUUUUACCCCGCCACAAUCUCUGUGUAAGUGGCUGUCCCAAGCAGCGAAGAGCCUGUAAUUCAGUGGUUGUCAUUUGUUGAUUUGUUACAUAUUUGUUUUUCGUUCAUUUUUUGUACAUAAACUAGGCCGUUAGUUUUCUCGUUUGAACUGUUUUACAUUGUCAUUUCGGGGCCUUUUAUAGCUGACUAUGCGGUAUAGACUUUACUCAUUGUUGAAGGCAGACAGUAAACUACAGUUGUUAAUUUCUGUGUCAUUUUGGUCUCUUGUGGAGAGUUGUCUCAUUGGCAACCACACCACAUCUUCUAUUUUGUAUUAACAUUAAGAACUUACGACAACAGUUGAAUAUGUAAAGGUUAUUAAAUACAUCUCUUAACCAUGUGAAAAUUGAAAAUGAAAAUAGGGAAUAUGUCAAAGAGACAACAAUCCGCCCAAAUAGCAGAUAUUAACAGAAGGCCACUAAUCGGCCUCCAAUGCAGAGAGAAAAUCCCGCACCCGGAGUUUGGUCUCAAUCAUGUUUUACUUAGGUAUUUAAAUCUUCUUGUGUAUUUCAUUCAUUUAAAAUUUGAAACUAGUGGAAUCAUGUACAGAGUUUUUCAAUCGAUCUAUUUCUAAAAUUACGCAUUCUUGAAAAAAGAAUGUAUAUUUAUUUACUUUUGGAGUACAUUAAUUGCGUUUUUGGUUAUAAAGACUUUUGUGGUUUACAAAUUGUGACUUGUAUGGAAUUAUGUCUCAUUGGAAUUCAUACUUGAUUUGAUUCACAAAAUUGAUAUCAGUAUCGUGUUGUUUUUUGUUUAUUUUAAUGCGAAAUACACCAUUAGAAGCUUCAGAAUAAAUUAUGUCAAUUUGAAUCAAAAUUGUAACAAUUGCAAUAGAGUUGAUGAGAAUCGAUAUGUUUUUGUUUUUAUCAUGAAUUGAUAAAAAAAAAACAGGACUGUGGUAAUAAUAAAAAAAACAUAUGAAACUUUUAAUUAUAUUUUUGCACAUAAACAAUAUCGGUCUCUUUCAAAAGGUUUUGAAAAACAAUUACCACGAUACGACCAUUAAAGCUAAUAAGUCAAAAAGGCCUUAUACACACACAGUCUAUCAUGUAUAUAUAGCAUUUAGAAUUUCAAUACAAAUUCAAAUUCAAACAUGUUUAAUGAUUUUAUUUCUUUUGACAUUGUAAGCUCUCAAAUUGCCUGUAAGAAUAGCUACAUUCAUCAAACUGAGUUCAAUAUAACAGAUAUUUAUUAAUCGGUGAAAAUGUCUGGAAAAUCAAAAAUAUUAUUGAAACGUUUGUUAGAAAAGACACUAAGAUAACAUUACAUGCACAAUACUCAAACGUUGAGUAUGCCAGCGGUUGUUGAAGUGAUUAGAUGUUUCAAAAUCUAAAGGGGCAUGGCUCGUACCGAACAUCAGAUUCUUCAACGUCGAUUGGCAAACAAGAUGGUAAGCUGCAUCUUUUCAAAACAUUAUUUAGGAAAGUUGAUCAUGCAAAUACAUGUUAUGAAUUUUGAAUCAAAUUAUGUAACAAAUGCCAUUCAUUUACUAUCAAUAUUAGUAAACGCCCGUUGUUGUUGACUUCAUUCCGUCUGGUAUUUUUAAAAAAGUUAUAAAAGACCUGGGAAUAUGCUACAUAUGCCCUCUUGUUUAGAACAGGUAUAAAUGUACAUUGGUGUUUGAUGAUGUGUUAUGAUAUACUAGAUAAUAUAUAAAGUCAGAAUGUCAAAAUUAAUCUGUUCAAAUAUGUACGUCAAUAUUACAAGUGAUAAUCAUACAUAGUUAUUUAUUAUACAAUAAUCAGCUGAUCUUUAAUUAUCUAAAUUAUUAGAACAUGGAUAUGUAUGUGAGAUGAAAGAGAUAUCAAUGAAUUUAUCAUAACCCAGCGACAUAAACAAAUCCCAAAGGAAUUUGUUUCCUUUGAUUCAAAUUUUAUAACUAAUAAACUUCUUUUUUGUAUAUAUAUUUUACUAUCGUUUUUUUUUUAACAAUUUACAGUGUUAUUUAAACAGAAAUGUUGUAUUUCAAUAAUGAAAUGUGUUAAAACCAAGCCUGCAAAUAGUGUUCGCAGUUAUACUUAUGUCCAGUACGGUUCUAGUGUUUCAAAACUUAUUGUGGUCUCAGUUGAACCUGAUGAAAGAUCAUACAGAAACAGGACUACAUCAUUAGUUCACGUAGCUAUUUCAUUUUAAAAUGGCAUCAUAUUAAUAGUAUCUUUCUGAUAUAGAAUUUAAAGAUAAAAGUUGAAAAACGUGUAUAAUUAUCAAUUUAGCAAGUUGCAAAAGUUUUGCUUAAUUUUUUUUUUUUUUGUGCAUUUUAUGUUCAAUCAUGUUUUAUUUGAAAUAAAUUCACGCAAAAGAGCAUAUUUUUACCCACUCAUUACAUUAUAUGCAAAAUUGAAUAAUGAAAUUGGUUGUUUUCAAAAUCAUGGCAGCGAGUUUAUUUUAUGUAGGAAGCUGCAGUUGAAUUAAGCCAAAAAAAAACUUCGGACUCUUAAUAUAUUCUUCGGUGUCGAACGCACUGUAACAUGCACGGUAUUCGAACUCACAACUUGAUUGUUGACAAUCUACUGAUCAGUAGAUGAACUGCUUAGACCACUUGGCCAUCGGGGCCCGUAACAAAGUUAAGAAAGCAUUAAAACAUCAAAUCAUAAAACACAAAAGGAAUUACAGGAAUAAUCAGAUCUGUUUCACUGUACAACAGACUACAGCGACAUCUAGCUGCACCAGUCAAACGACUGACUUAGAAAAGACAAACAACAACAGAAAACACUAAACAUUUCAAUGUUAACACAAUUCACCCCUUUUACUAUAUAUGCCAAACUUAUGCUGUAAAAUUACACACACUAUAACAAAUCCGACAGGCAGCUACUACAUUCUUAGAACACCACAAUGAAUCAGGAUGUAAAGGAGGACAUUUAUCACAUAUUAUCCACAAAGAUGUAUCCAAGCUGUUGAAUUCCUAGUUCCACAGCUAAAAUUUAACCUCCCGCAAAACAUUAAUAAAUACAUCUAUAUUUCCCUAUAUUACUGCAAUGUGGUUAGACAUCUUCUUUAUUCAAUAAUACCAGAAACACAAUAAUCAUAUCCAUUCGUUAUUCAUAUUAAAUAUCUUUUAACGAAACAAAUUACAUGUGUCUCAUUGAAAGGUUAUUACAUUGCUAUAUAAUGCAUUUAAAUGAGUAUAAAUGUGUAAUUGAUGCUGUUCACAAAAUGUUUAUUAUCAAUCCUUUUCACAUAGGAGUAAAGCAUUAUACAGGUAAGAAGUUUAUAGUAACAUAAAUAUAACUACUAUAUAUUAUAAAAUAAAAAUGUUGUCCUUAUAUAUACAUUUACAUUUUAUUGUGCUUUUAUUAACUUGUAAGAAUUACCCUUAACUUGAGACAAACAGGAAAAACAAAGCAUAUUUGGAAAUCAAAACAAACAAAAUUAAGAUGUUUUAUAUAAUACAUUUUAAUGUUCCUUUAUUAACUGGUAAAUACAUUUGUAAGUAAUAACUACUGUUAACUUGAGACAAACGGAAAUACAUGGGAAUAAUUAAUCUAAAUUGCCAGAACUCAAAACGUAGUAAACAAAUUCUCAUCACUCAUAAUGCUGUGCAUCAGUAGCCUGUUUUAUCUGAAAUACACACCAGUGGUCCAAUGCAUUCAUGUAGAUAAAUGUUUGUAAAGCAAAAGAAAAAAAAACCAACGCAAAACCCCAGAACAAACAGAAAAAGACCAAGUAUUUUAGGAAAUCAAAACGAAAACAAUUCUAUAUUCGAACAGCGGUGUACUACUGUUGCCUUUAUCUUUAUAAAUUUCGUGCAUAAGAAGCGCUUUUGUUGAUCUACAUAUGAAAGAUAUGUAUAUAUAAAUACGUAGCAGCGUUUGGAACUACAAGUAUCAUCAAAGGUGACAUUCUUAGAAAAGUCUUAAUUCAUCAAAGGUCAAUUCUGCCAGAAGGAGUUGGAACUUUAGUUGCCUAACAAUUUCAGGGGCAAUUUCAGAAACAUGUUAAAAUGUGUUUAUAUUCAAUAUAAUUAUUCGGCAUUGUAUAAAGACACUAGUGCCCUAUCAAAUAUAUUUGAAUGAGCUUGAGACAAAGCAUUUUUUACAUGUACUUUUUAAGUUUUUGUACCGUAAAGAAUAUUGUGAUAUGCCAGGUACUUAAUAUUUUGAAUGUUGGAUAUUAUCAGACUAAGUAUAUUUAAUAAAUUGAUUAUAUAUCUUUUCAAAUUAUGCUUUAAAAAGGAUAUUAUUUUUGUAUCUGCUACUAUGAUUCAGAUUGGUCAAAGGUCCAGGAUUUGAGAAAAAAAAUUAUAGAACGAAGUCUGAAAACUAAUUUCAGCGUCACUACUGGAAACAAAAUAGUUAUGUAAUAAAACAUAUCACUGCAAUAUAUGAGAAGUCAUUUAAGAACCUUGGAAAUGUUUUGGUAUUAAAAAUGUCAUAAAAAAGAUGUCAUGCGUAACAUUAUACUAAGAGUGAUCUAAUGGUACGUGUAUAAUAUGCACAUGUAUAUAACACAAAAAAAACAUUCUUAUCGGCAUUUAAUAUUUUUAAACCAAAACAAAACAUUCUAUAUUAAGUUUAUAUGUUUUUCUAACACAUUUACAUAAAACUGUUUAAAAGCAUAACGAUCAUGUACAGUGUACCACGUAAUUCGACUUUUAAGGUACAAAUAUAUUAUGAGGUUCGUGAAGUGAGUUUUGUAAAUGGCUGGGUUUUUUAUCCAUGAUUUAAAACUGACAAACAAGACAUUUCUUGAGUAAAUCAAUAUCGUUAAACCAGGCAGUAAAUAGUUUCGACACUAAUUGUGCAUAAUAAAAUAUAUCUCAGAGGUUUUAUGAUUUACAUCAUUUAGUUAUUGGUACAGCCAAAAAAAAAUUAGAAUUUUUUGCAGAUUCUUAAUUUUAUCAAUUAUAUUUCAAAUGAGAUAUAUAUUAAGAAAAAACAAUGAUAUAUGACACACUGUUUUGUCUCACUCCUUUUAACGGCCAUGUACCAUCGAUAAUAAAUUAUCACAUGAAAAAUGUGACUGUAUAAAAAGACAGUUGCUUGACUUUACUAUGUCUAGUACUUGUUUGUGUCUUAUUGUCUUUUUACCCAUAUCUUCUGUUCUUUCUUUGAAAUAUAUGUAUAUAAACUUGUGACACUUGAAGAAGGCCAUUUGUUGAGCCGAAAUAUUUGUCAGCACGAUUUAAUAACAACAUUUUCGUAUUAUAACAUCUUAUAUCAGUACCGUUGUGCAAAUCUUUAGACUGAUAUAAUUUUUUUCCUUAUCUGCAUAGUAUCGCUAUUCUAGACGAUCCGGUACAUAGUAAAUUUGCUGGUUGGUCGUUUUUAUAUACUUUUAUAUAUAUAUAUAUAUAUAUAUAUAAGAACCCACUUGUUUUAUGUAGAUAAAAUACCUUCAAGUCACAUAAAUUACUUUUAUUUGUCGUUUCUAAUACCAAUAACGUUUGAUUUUAUUAAUCCGGCUACAAUCCGUCACGUAUUAGAAUUGAAGAGCCCCGCUUGAUCUAAUUAUAAAUCUAUUGCACAGUUUUGUCAGUUGUGAACAACACGAUGAUGCGUAUUGAUGGCAUUUAAAGUUUCCUUCGGAAUAAUUUGUUAAGGAUGCUUACACUUCUAUAGUUUGUACUUGUUGGCUUUCCUAAUUAUGUCUUCUGUAUCAAUAUAUCCCGUGGUGUCAUUUUACUUGCUUAGACAAGUAACAUACUAGAUAUAUAUCAUAUCUAAACUCAGUAUAAAUUUAUCAAGAGAUUUAUAGAUAUGUAAUAGAUACACUGAGAAUAUAUUAACCAUGAAGAUAUGAAUGAAAGAUAUAUAAGGUGACCGUCAAUUGGACUGGACAAAAAUUAAAAGAUACAAAUUAGCUACCGAAAGGAUUUUAAAAUAUGUUAAUAAGUGUGCGAUGUAAAGUUGAGUCGUGAUUGAAUAUUACAGGUUCUAUAAAAGUAAAUCUAAGAUGUGGCCUUCUUACUCGAGAGUUACUGAUGAGACUUUCGUAGACAAAACUUAAUUCAUAUAUAUAUAUGAUGAGUUUAUUAAUUUCCUAUUGGUCAAUAUCACUGCGGGAGUGGGUAUCUCCGCUAGUGUCAGCACAUCUAAGUUGAGAUUAAUUAUAAUGUCUCUAUAGAACAAGGUUUAAUCCACCAUUUUCUACGUAAUAAAAUAUCUGCACCAAGUCAGAAGUAUGACAUUUGUUUGAGGUGUUUGAGCUUUUGAUUUUGCUAUUUGUGAAGGGACUUUCCGUUUUGAAUUUUUAUGGAAGAUCGGUAUUUAAGUUCUUUUUUCUUCUUUUCUUAUUGUCAUCAUUAUAAAAUUACAGUUGAAAAAAAAAUAAUAAAAGUUUCAACGGCUUGCUAUCGACAGGAUAAGAUUAGCUUAACUGUAUUUGGGUAAAAAAAUGUUCCUUAAUGUAGGAAUAUCAAUGCUCAAAAACAUAGUAGUUUAUUUUAUUGGCCUUUUCAUAUAUUCUUUAAUUCAGCUGGACUUAUGUGUCUUUUGUGUACGAAACUAGCGUCUGGCGUACAAAAUGUUAAGGCUUGUAUCUGGCAUGAGUUUAUUUGCACGUCUUGCAUUUCUUAUUAUGUCUGUAUCUAUAUAUCCUGUGGUGUAAUUUUACUUACAAAACAAGAUUUAAAACAAAUUAACAACUGCUCAUCCAAUCAAGUUGCUAGAAAUUCCCCUCAAAGUUUUUAAAGUGCAUACUGUUUCCGUGUACUUAGUUACUGCAUAAGUAACCGCAAGGUUUUUUAAUUGCAUUUUAAUCAGGAUAUUUUGAGAGCAAACAAGUACCACCGGCUGUAUUGGAACACAAUUUCGUGUCUCAAAUUAUUUAAUGAGCAUAUGUUAUUAGUUUUCACACCAUCAAUUUUGUAUAUCAAAACAUUAGCUAUUUAUAUAUUUGGUUAACAUAAAUACAUCUCAAAAUUUAGUAUAUCACAGUAGCGAAUUGAACGAUAUAUAACUGAUACACGUGAAUCUGUCUUUUAAACUUCAUUGUGCAUACUUUUUACAUGUGUCACAGAAAACUGUCAAAAUUAUCUAAACAUGAAUGACCAAAAGCGUACAAUUUUCGAGAUUUCAACAUCGAAAAUCUACUGUUCUAUCUUAUUGACUAAAAAUAAAAAAGUAAAUUAACUCACGUAUUUGUUAAAUUGGGAGUGAUGAAAACCCUUCUACAAACAGAGAAACAAACAAACAUGGAAAUAAUAACGUUGCAAUACAUCCGAGCAAAGUCACGUGUGUCUUGGUAUUGUGUUUUAAAGCAUUCUUGUUACUUCAGUUUAAGAAAGACAAAAAUAUAAAAUUAACUAAGUGAUAAACAAACACCGAAAGGAAAAUAAGUCUUUAUUAAUUUUUCCGUUCUCAAAAAGAGUUUUCCGGUUUAACAUUUACCAGAACAGUACUCAAACUCAAACAUUUGAAAGCCAAAUAUAUAAAAAUACUUAAAUGCAUAAUGAGCUGUAUGACAAAUUGGCCGUAUAAAAAUAAUAAUUUUUUUUUUUUUUUUUGGUUCUAAAACAUAUCUUAAGGUAUGAACGGGAAUUUUAUGGACAGUUAAUUAUAAAACGUAUUAUAAAGUGUAUUCCUAUGUAUUCCUUUAAGUGAUAUGUAAUUAUAUCGGUUUGUCUCUCGUAUUAAUCAAAUUCUUAACUGUUAGAUAGGGUUAAAUGUGAAUUGGAAUUAAUGCGAUUUUACUUUGUUUGUGUAGUUAUCUUACUACAAAUAGAACCAACAUGAACAAGAAAGCAUGGAUGAACUCGUAUGCAUUGAAAUAUUGAGCAGUGGCUUAAUUCCUAUAUAUGUGACUCCUUUCGAUCCAAACCGUAACACAAAUACAUCACCCGUCGAAUUGUUUAAUCAUCCAUUUUCUACAUUUGAAAUGCCUGUACCAAGUCAUGAAUAUGACAGUUGUUGUCCCUUCAUUUCAUGUGUUUCGUCAUUCGAUUUUGCCAUUUGAUUAGGGACUUUCCAUUUUGAAAUUUUCUCGGAGUUUAAUAUUUUUUUAUUUCACCUUUUAUUGCACACAACAAAUAAUUAUCAUGACUUCGUUAUCCUUGCAGAUUAAACAAACAGGUGAUUGUGGAUGAUAUGGAUGAAAACUCAUCAAAGAUACCAGGAUUAUAAUGAAACAAAUUCUUUCUCGCUCCAAUGUGUUGUUGCAACGGAAGUUGUUAUUAUCAAAUGAUUAAUUACACCGAUACCGAGUGAUAUUUAAUUUUGUCGUAUUGUAGGACUUAAAAUUGUUAAAUACAGAACUAAACCUUUGAUUGACAGCUAUUUGUGGAUCAAAUUGAUUUAAAAGUAAUACUUUAUUAUUUAAGCUUGGUAAACACGUGAUUUAUGGCCGUUUGUUACAUUUUAUAAAUACUUUUACUAUUUAAAAUGGCAUUUCAAUCACAACAAAGCGUAUUUUAGAGGUUUCCAACACAUAAAUAGUUUUUGAAAUGAUUUGAUUUGAUGACAACGUGGUGUUAAAUUUCGAAUAAAAAUACACGUAGCCUUAUAGAGCAAGAGUCAUCAUAGAUACUAGGUUUACAAUUCAGACGUGUUUUAACCUGCAUACAAUUGUGUGUGUAAAACACACAUUUUUAAAGAUAAAAAAAUUCACAUUUAGAACGAAUAACCUGCAUUUUUACUACAUAAAACUCAAAUGUGAUGUUCGAAUCAAAACAGCUGUAAUAUAACGAACUUGAAACUAUUGGAAAAAAAUUAAAAAACUAUUUGCUCAAAAGAAAGUUGAAUGAAAACAUUUUUUAUUAUACUACAACUUCUCUCGUUCAUAUAACAACAUCAAAAGGAAUUAAACUGCAGUAUAUUUACAGUUUGAAAUAAAAUGUUAUAAGUCAGUGAUUUCGAUCUUUAAGAGAUGACAAUUUUUGCCGGGUAAUUACGUAAAUACUGCACAAGUUAUUCAAUGUCAUAAUUCAGAUUUAUGUAAAUAUAUUAAUCUGCAUUUUUACUAGCUAAAUGCAAUCGAAGCAGCUAAAUAAAAAAAUAGUUUAUAGCAAUAUCUUGUGGCGUUUGAAGUACUAUUUUAUUAUAUAUAUUAUGUAAUAUAAAUGAUAUAAAUUACAUGAAGUAGAAAUAAUAAUGAUUACCAUGUUUGAUAUCAAGAAUAAUUAGUACGCCAUGUGUGUGUGUAGUAUAAUGGUAUAGAAAAAUGUGUCCUUUAGAAAUAACGAUGUGGUGAGAGUCUAUUAUACAAUUUCAUUUCUCUGUUUAUAUAGUCUUCAUGGGUGACAUGUUUUAUUUGUUAUCAUAUAGUUUAUAUUGUACUACGAUAACUUGAGAUUAAACAGUUGACGAAUUAAUCAUGAAUACAAUUCUAGCUAUAGUUAUUGUUUUCACUUUAUUGUUAUUAUCCUUCACACCAAUUUUAUUCAGUUUGUAAGAUUAUCGGUCCAAUUUACCGAUCGGUCUUUCCUAUUAAUUCUUAAUCCUGAUUUUUUCUUUUACUUUGUAUUUUGCUGGAACUAAUAAAUUACGUUCAUUAGUAUCGCACAUGAUAUGACAGGAAAAUUGACAAAGAUACAACAUGGUAGAACGUGAUAUUUGUAUUAGUUGGUUUUGGCUUUAAUCUAGUUACCAGUAAACGAAAAUACCCUAAGACAGGUUAUUUGUCUCUAUUGUAUUUAUGUAAGUUGUUUUUGUGGUUCGUGUCGUUUUGAUUUGACGUAACGAAACUGAUUUUUACCAUUUUUUUUAACAGAUCAGGUGAAGAGUUGAUCACUCACAAAAUGUUAAACACAGUUAUAAUUCUGUACAUGCAUCUGCCUGGUUAGCGCUAUAAAACCAGUCAGGAGUCUUUUAUUUAAUGGUUGUCGUUGGUUGGUCCUAACUAUAAGAAAAUAAAACGGGUUUUUUUUCAAAAAUAAUCUUUACCAAAUCUUUACAAAAAUAAAGAAUUUGAACAAUAAAAGAAUAUUUUAUUAUUUUUACAUAAUGUCUUAUGUGCCUAAUAUUUCAACUCAACAGUAAAUAAUUAUGAAUUGUUAUUGCUGGUACAAUUAAAUUAAUCAUGUUCUGAUGAUUAUGCAUGACCACAGUUUAGCUAUUUGAAGAAUAAAAAAAGCAAAGGAAACAACUUAUGUUAAAUAAAGGCAACAGUAGUAUACAGCUGUUCAAAACUCAUAAAACGAUAGAAAAAAACAAAUCCGGGUUAAACACUUAAACUAAGGGAAACGCAUCAUAUAUAAAAGGAGAACAACGACACAACAGAAACACAACAUUAAAAUGUAACACACUCAGAAACGAACGAGACAAAAUCCGAUGAGAAUAACAAAUACAUGACUUAGGAUAGAAAAGUACCGGGACACGUUAAGAAUGAGUAUUCUCAGAAUCAAGCCAGUUAUUAGACUGGCAAUGUAAACUCAUUCUAUACCACUGGAAUAUGUUACUAAUAAGAGUUCAAAUCUUCUUAUGUUGAUCAAGAAUUUGGUUUGGAUUUUCUAUGGUAAAUGUAUGAUGCUUAUAUAAUAUUGUAUAACAUGACCAGGUGUUCAUUCCAUUGUUGUGUGCAUAUUCUUGAUCUACGGAACUAUGGAAUCAACCACAAAAAAAGGAUUUACAAAUAAUUGACUUUAGAAUGACAAACCGUCAGCUGAAAUGCAAUAACUUAGUACUUGUAUAUAUUCAUAUCAUACAAAUUACUAAUAGAUAUUUCUUACUUCUUUUUCAGUGGGUAAUUUACCAUACAACUGAUUACGCCGAGGGCGGAAUAAAUACAAAUAAUUAUUCAUAGGACCAUAUCCCCUUAAAGCACUAGAACUAUUCAAUAUAACUGAUUCUCCAAUUUACUGGAAGUAUAUUACUGUUGAUAUACUCCAAGGAAGAGUUUAUGUAUUAUAUAUUAUAUACGUAUGGCUACGUACAGUCAUUUACAAAUACACAGAAAUGAAUAGCUUGAUUUCUCGUGCGAAUUCAGAUGGUAUGCAUGUCAUGUUAAGUGAGUUUUUAUAAAAGGAUUAAGUAUUAUUUAGUGUGGAUAUAUACGACGUUAUGACAACUUUAUGCUAGGUUUUACAUAGAGGUGAAGGAACCAUACAAUAUCCGUACCAGUUUUAAAUAUCCGGGUCUUAAGGGAUUACAAUGCAAUCAUGAUAUAUGGAAAUUUAUGUUUUUGAUUUGGAAACCAUAGAUAUUCUAUAAACUUUGU
rnacentral:lncRNA from 1 species